GCCGCCGUAGCUCAGUUGGUAGAGCACCUCCAUGGUAAGGAGGGGGUCACCGGUUCAAUUCCGGUCGGCGGCUCCA
rnacentral:tRNA from 3 species